rnacentral:rRNA from 1 species
UACAGAGGGUGCGAGCGUUGUCCGGAAUCACUGGGCGUAAAGGGCGCGUAGGUGGCGACCCAAGUCGAUGGUGAAAGCUCGCCGGCUCAACGGCGAGUCGGCCACCGAUACUGGGUUGGCUGGAGCACUGUAGAGGCUCAUGGAAUUCCGGGUGUAGCGGUGGAAUGCGUAGAGAUCCGGAAGAACACCGGGUGGCGAAGGCGGUGAGCUGGGGCAG